UGAAGCUGGAAUUGCUAGUAAUGGCAGGUCAGCAUACUGCCGUGAAUACGUUCCCGGGCCUUGUACACACCGCCCGUCACACCAUGAGAGUUGGGAAUACCCGAAGCCUGUGAGCUAACUUUUAGAGGCAGCAGUCGAAGGUAGAAUCAAUGAUUGGGGUGAAGUCGUAACAAGGUACC
rnacentral:rRNA from 1 species